UACGUAGGCAGCAAGCGUUGUUCGGAGUUACUGGGCGUAAAGGGUGCGUAGGCGGCUUUUUAAGUCUGGUGUGAAAUCUCCCGGACUCAACUGGGAGGGUGCGCCGGAUACUGAGGGGCUAGAGUGUGGGAGAGGAAAGUGGAAUUCCUGGUGUAGCGGUGAAAUGCGUAGAUAUCAGGAGGAACACCGGUGGUGUAAACGGCUUUCUGGACCAUAACUGACGCUGAGGCACGAAAGCGUGGGUAGCAAACAGG
rnacentral:rRNA from 1 species